GAUCCUGGCUCAGGAUGAACGCUAGCUACAGGCUUAACACAUGCAAGUCGAGGGGCAUCAGUUUGGUUUGCUUGCAAACCAAAGCUGGCGACCGGCGCACGGGUGAGUAACACGUAUCCAACCUGCCUCAUACUCGGGGAUAGCCUCUCGAAAGAAAGAUUAAUAUCCGAUAGCAUAUAUUUCUCGCAUGGGUUUUAUAUUAAAGAAAUUCGGUAUGAGAUGGGGAUGCGUCCCAUUAG
rnacentral:rRNA from 1 species